CUGGGCUGCCGCACGAGUGGCCUGCCGGGUGCGGGGGAAAAUGUUCGAGCGCGAGCCCCCGCGGGGCCACUGGGGAGACGGAGGGCAGAAACGGGGGCUGUUGGAGCCAGCCUAAGCCUGGGUGUAAGCUCUGUCACUCAGAGCUCGGGACUAGGCGCUUUUGGGUGCAAAACGAGUGGCCCACACAACUCCCUGGCUAGAAGAGGCCCGAGUCUGGGAGGGGAGAGAUUUGGAGAAACCGAAUCUCAACUCCCUGAAGGCAGUGACGUGUCUCUUCUCUGCUGUAUUCCGGGUGCCUGAAAUGUGCCUGGCAGGAAACUUUCAUUUUGGCCACAUAUGUACCUGUGUGUACGCAGGCAUGUGUGCUUCUGUGAGCAUGCCCUGGAUCUCAAUGCCAAGAUGGAAGAGGAGAAGCUGAUGUGACCACAAAGGCAGAGGUUGAAGUACUGUGGCCACAAGCCAAGAAUGCUGGCCACCAUCAGAAUCCAGCCACCAGGAUUCUCUCUUGGAACUUCUGAAGGGAACACAGCCUUGAUGAUACCUUGAUUUCUGCUCGGUAAUACAGAUUUUGUAUUUCUGCCUUCCAGACCUGUGUGAGAAUAAAUUUCU